rnacentral:rRNA from 1 species
UACGUAGGUGGCAAGCGUUAUCUGGAUUUAUUGGGCGUAAAGGGAACGCAGGCGGUCUUUUAAGUCUGAUGUGAAAGCCUUCGGCUUAACCGGAGUAGUGCAUUGGAAACUGGGAGACUUGAGUGCAGAAGAGGAGAGUGGAACUCCAUGUGUAGCGGUGAAAUGCGUAGAUAUAUGGAAGAACACCAGUGGCGAAAGCGGCUCUCUGGUCUGUAACUGACGCUGAGGUUCGAAAGCGUGGGUAGCAAACAGG